rnacentral:rRNA from 1 species
GACGAACGCUGGCGGCGUGCUUAACACAUGCAAGUCGAACGGAAAGGCCCUGCUUGCAGGGUACUCGAGUGGCGAACGGGUGAGUAACACGUGGGUGAUCUGCCCUGCACUUCGGGAUAAGCCUGGGCAACUGGGUCUAAUACCGGAUAGGAGCCAUUUUUAGUGUGAUGGUUGGAAAGUUUUUUCGGUGUAGGGUGAGCUCGCGGCCUAUCAGCUUGUUGGUGGGGUAAUGGCCUACCAAGGCGGCGACGGGAAGCCGGCCUGUGGGUGUGGACGGCGACACUGAGACUGAGAGAAGGCACAGAUGCGGAAGGGAGGAAGAAGGGGGGAAGAUUGAACAAGGGGUACAGGGUGGAUGAAGAGAGGCUGCGGGGUGGAUGACGGCUUUGGGGUUGUAAACAAGCAGCGGUAGGGACGAAGCUUUUUGUGACGGUACCUAGAGAAGAAGCACCGGCUAACUACGUG